rnacentral:rRNA from 1 species
UUGACCUCGGAUCAGGUAGGGAUACCCGCUGAACUUAAGCAUAUCAAUAAGCGGAGGAAAAGAAACCAACAGGGAUUGCCUUAGUAACGGCGAGUGAAGCGGCAAAAGCUCAAAUUUGAAAUCUAACGCCUCUGGUGUUCGAGUUGUAAUUUGGAGAGGCAUCUUCCGGAGUGGCCCAGCCUAUGUACCUUGGAACAGGACGUCAUAGAGGGUGAGAAUCCCGUUCUUGGCUGGAUGUUCACUCCCGUAUGUAGUGUCUUCUACGAGUCGAGUUGUUUGGGAAUGCAGCUCAAAAUGGGUGGUAAAUUUCAUCUAAAGCUAAAUAUUGGCGAGAGACCGAUAGCGCACAAGUAGAGUGAUCGAAAGAUGAAAAGCACUUUGAAAAUAGAGUCAAACAGUACGUGAAAUUGUUGAAAGGGAAGCGCUUGAGACCAGAGUCAGCCUUUGGCAAACAACUGUUCCUUCUGGGCGGUGCACUUGUYAUUGGUUGGGCCAGCAUCGGUUGGGACGGUGGGAUAAAGGCUUGGGAAAUGUGACUCCUUUAUGGAGUGUUAUAGUCCCAGGUGGCAUGCCAUUCGUUCCGACCGUGGACCGCGCCUUGGCUCGGAUGCUGGCUUAAUGGUCUUCAGCGAMCCGUCUUGAAAC